rnacentral:misc_RNA from 1 species
GAAAUGCGAUAAGUAAUGUGAAUUGCAGAAUUCAGUGAAUCAUCGAAUCUUUGAACGCACCUUGCGCUCCUUGGUAUUCCUUGGAGCAUGCCUGUUUGAGUAUCAUGAAAUCUUCAAAGUAAAUCUUUUGUUAACUCAAUUGGUUUCUACUUUGGUAUUGGAGGUCUUUGCAGCUUCACACCUGCUCCUCUUUGUUCAUUAGCUGGAUCUCAGUGUUAUGCUUGGUUCCACUCGGCGUGAUAAGUUAUCUAUCGCUGAGGACACUGUAAAGGGUGGCCAAGGUAAAUGCAGAUGAACCGCUUCUAAUAGUCCAUUGACUUGGACAAUACUUUUAUGAUCUGAUCUCAAAUCAGGUAGGACUACCCGCUGAACUUAAGA